GGUGGAUGCCUUGGCACCAGGAGCCGAUGAAGGGCGUAGGACGCUGCGAUAAGCCUCGGGGAGCUGUC
rnacentral:rRNA from 1 species